GACGAACGCUGGCGGCGUGCCUAACACAUGCAAGUCGAGCGGAGAUUUCUUUGGCACUGAGUACUCUAGUAGUGACGCAAAGGAAGCGUCAUGAAGAAACAACAUAGAUGUUAAAAACACUGAUAAAAGUUUCUUCAUCACGCGUUUAUAAAGUGCCAACACAUAACAACAAGAAGAAUUAGAGUAUUGAGUGCCAAAGAAUCUUAGCGGCGGACGGGUGAGUAACACGUGGGCAACCUGCCUUGGAGUGGGGGAUAACACCGGGAAAUCGGUGCUAAUACCGCAUAACAUACACAAGCUGCAUGGUAUGUGUAUCAAAGGAGUAAUCCGCUUUAAGAUGGGCCCGCGGCUGAUUAGCUAGUUGGUAAGGUAACGGCUUACCAAGGCGACGAUCAGUAGCCGACCUGAGAGGGUGACCGGGCCACACUGGAACUGAGACACGGUCCAGACUCCUACGGGAGCAGCAGUGGGGAAUUUGGACAAUGGGCC
rnacentral:rRNA from 1 species